GGGGGGGUCAAAGUGGAUCAUCUCAGAUCUCCAUAAGUGUUUAGGAUGUAUAGGUUUUAGGGGGAUGAUUUGGGAUUGGCCCAGGCGCUCCACUUCUAAAUUGACCCACUUUAUGACAACAGUUUUUCAAUGGACCCUUGAAGCGGACCCUUUUUUUUUUUUUACAUCUGAGAUUAAUUGCUGGUCUGGAAUGUCUCCUGUUGUUAUAUUUCAAUAACACUGUUUUCUGAGCGUCAUAUUUAAAUUUAAAAAACACAGUAAAAAAUGUGUGAUAGAAAAGUCUGACUGUCUCUAUUACCAUUCAGUAGGUCCCAUAGAAUUAUGUGGUCACUCCCAGUAAGGUCAACUUAAAAUUAUGUGGUCAACUUUGAGUGGUUGAUAUCCCAUGGUUAUAUGCGCUGUGCUCAGGAGCCUGGGGACAAGGUGUCCGUGUACUGACCAUGUUGAGUGGUUCAUGUGUGGUCUAUCUAUGGUCAGAGGGAGCUGGGGUGCCGACGGUGAGAGGAGGUGGAGAGGACGGUGGGAGUGGAGGUGGUUGGAGGUUGAAGAGGACGGUGGGAGGUGGUUGGAGGUGGAGAGGACAGUGGGAGUGGAGAGGAUGGAGGGAGUGGAGGUGGUUGGAGGUGGAGAGGACAGUGGGAGUGGAGAGGAUGGAGGGAGUGGAGGUGGUUGGAGGUGGAGAGGACAGUGGGAGUGGAGAGGAUGGAGGGAGUGGAGGUGGUUGGAGGUGGAGAGGACAGUGGGAGUGGAGAGGAUGGUGAGAGUAGAGGGGACGGUGGGAGUGGAGGUGGUGGAGGUGUUUGGGGUGGAGAGGACAGUGGGAGUGGAAAGGACGGUGGGAGUGGAGGUGUUUGGGGUGGAAAAGACAGUGGCAGUGAUGGUGGUGGAGGUGUUUGGGGUGGAGUUGACGGUAGGAGUGGAGAUUUUUGUGGUGGAGAGGACUGUGGACUAGAUGGAGGACAUCCCCGCCACUUGGCAGUGUUGACACUGCUACUUCCUACCUGAUGGGUAAGAGGACAUCACUUCUACAACCAACCAACCAAUCAACCAAGCAAUCAACCAAGCAAUCAACCAACCA
ensembl:lncRNA